rnacentral:rRNA from 1 species
GCGGGAGGCUUAACACAUGCAAGUCGAGGGGUAACAUAUAGGAAGCUUGCUUUUUAUGAUGACGACCGGCGCACGGGUGCGUAACGCGUAUACAACCUACCUAUAACUGGGGGAUAGCCAGUGGAAACACUGAUUAAUACCCCAUAACAAUAUUUUAUCGCAUGGUAUAAUAUUUAAAGUUCCGACGGUUAAAGAUGGGUAUGCGUGACAUUAGAUAGUUGGUAGGGUAACGGCUUACCAAGUCAACGAUGUCUAGGGGGUCUGAGAGGAUGAUCCCCCACACUGGUACUGAGACACGGACCAGACUCCUACGGGAGGCAGCAGUGAGGAAUAUUGGUCAAUGGGCGCAAGCCUGAACCAGCCAUCCCGCGUGCAGGAUGAAGGCCUUAUGGGUCGUAAACUGCUUUUAUAUAGGAAGAAUUCUCCAUUCGUGAAUGGAAUUGACUGUACUAUAAGAAUAAGCACCGGCUAACUCCGUGCCAGCAGCCGCGGUAAUACGGAGGGUGCAAGCGUUAUCCGGAUUCAUUGGGUUUAAAGGGUGCGUAGGCGGAUAAUUCAGUCAGUGGUGAAAUCCUGCAGCUUAACUGUAGAACUGCCAUUGAUACUAGUUAUCUUGAAUUUAGUUGAGGUAGGCGGAAUGUGUAGUGUAGCGGUGAAAUGCUUAGAUAUUACACAGAACACCGAUUGCGAAGGCAGCUUACUGGACUAACAUUGACGCUGAGGCACGAAAGCGUGGGGAGCGAACAGGAUUAGAUACCCUGGUAGUCCACGCCGUAAACGAUGAUUACUCGUUGUGUGCGAUACACAGUACGCGACUGAGCGAAAGCAUUAAGUAAUCCACCUGGGGAGUACGUUGGCAACAAUGAAACUCAAAGGAAUUGACGGGGGCCCGCACAAGCGGAGGAAUAUGUGGUUUAAUUCGAUGAUACGCGAGGAACCUUACCUGGGCUUAAAUGGAACGAGACGGUUUUCGAAAGAGAACUUUCUUCGGACUGGUUUCAAGGUGCUGCAUGGUUGUCGUCAGCUCGUGCCGUGAGGUGUCGGGUUAAGUCCCAUAACGAGCGCAACCCCUAUCGUUAGUUGCUAGCAGGUAAUGCUGAGGACUCUAGCGAGACUGCCGGUGUAAACCGAGAGGAAGGUGGGGAUGACGUCAAAUCAGCACGGCCCUUAUGUCCAGGGCUACACACGUAUUACAAUGGUAAGUACAGAGGGCAGCUACCUGGCGACAGGAUGCUAAUCUCGAAAGCUUAUCAUAGUUCGGAUCGCAGUCUGCAACUCGACUGCGUGAAGUUGGAUUCGCUAGUAAUCGCGCAUCAGCCAUGGCGCGGUGAAUACGUUCCCGGGCCUUGUACACACCGCCCGUCAAGCCAUGGAAGCUGGGGGUGCCUGAAGUCCGUAACCGAGAGGAGCGGCCUAGGGUAAAACUAGUAAUU